AUUGUGUCUCCGUAAAAAGAUAGGAUGUCCCAACCCACUGUAUUCAGAAUAUGACCUUAUUUGGAAACAAGGUCUCUACAGAGGUAAUCAAGUAAAAAUGAGGCCAUUGGAGGUCAUAAUCCAAUAUGACUGAUAUCCUUACAAAAAGGAAAAAUUUGGACACAGAGACACACACAUAAAGGAGAACACCAUGUAAAGGUGACAGCAGAGGUUGGGAUAAUACAUUAAGGAAUGCCAAAGGUUGCCGGAAAGUCACCAGAAGGUAGGAGAGGGGUAUUGAACUUAUUCUCCCUCACAGUCGAGAAGAAACCAAUCCUGCUGACACCUUGAUCUCAGACUACCAGCCUCCAGAAUUGUGAGGCUAGAUCACAAAACCUUUGUGUUUAUGACAUAGUUUAUGACACUAUGCUAUGACAUAGCAUAGAAAACGAACGUAUCCACAACAACCAUGGAAUGGAGCUUCUCCCUUGCAAUGGCCUAGAAAAGACAUGAGAAGAGGAUCUAAAAGGUCACAAUAAUAUAGAGCCAUGAGACAGAUAGGGGGAAGACAAAGAGAUGCAGGAAAGGAGGCCAUGUGAAGAUGGAGGCAGAGACUGGAGUCACGCUGCCAGAAGCCAAGACCACUUGGUACCACCAGAAGCUGGAAGAGGAAAGGAAGGAUUCUCCCCUAGAGCUUUCAAAGAGAGCGUAGCCCUGCUGACAUCUUGAUUUUGGACUUCUGGCCUUCAAAACUGUCAUAAGAUCCUUGAUGGCAAGACCAAUGUUAUUCUCAUCUUUGUAUUCUACAGCAUUCAGAAUAAAGAAGUUUGCACAUAGCAGAUGCUAAAUAAAAUUUUUGAAUGAACGAAA
rnacentral:lncRNA from 1 species